rnacentral:lncRNA from 10 species
GUGCGCCAUGAUGCCUGGCUAAUUUUUUGUUAUCUUUAGUAGGGAUGGGCUUUCACCAUGUUGGCCAGGCUGGUCUUGUACUCCUGACCUCGUGAUCCGCCCGCCUCGGCCUCCCAAAGUGCUGGGAUGACAGGCGUGAGCCACCGCGCCCGGCCCCACUGUACUUUAAAAAUGAGCAUUGCUACUGCAAUAUUAUAGGGUAAUAGCAGCACAGGCCACACUGAGCCAUCAGUGUCGUCGGUUUUGAGAAGAGACCCGCUGGAGCCAGGCUCUUUAGCUCCUUCUGAGAAACCCUACGGAAAGAGGCGUGGAGCAGGCCCAGCCGGGAGCCCAGGGAGAGUGGACUCCGCACACCGAGACCCGCCUGAGCAGCAGAGAAUGGCUUCCGGCUUCCGCACACCGAGACCCGCCGGUGCAGGGGUGAAUGGCUUCCGGCUUCCGCACACCGAGACCCGCCGGUGCAGGGGUGAAUGGCUUCCGGCUUCCGCACACCGAGACCCACCUGAGCAGCAGAGAAUGGCUUCCGGCUUCCGCACACCGAGACCCGCCUGAGCAGCAGAGAAUGGCUUCCGGCUUCCGCACACCGAGACCCGCCGGUGCGGGCUUCCUGGGACUUCCAUUCUUGAUUUGUUGGGGUGACAGUGCCAAGCCUGACCUCCCCUCUAAGGUCAGAAAAACAAUGAGCAACGUGCGUCAAUGAGGGCAGCAGCUUCCAAACAGACACCUGGGGAAACCUGGAAAUCUUCAGUGAUGUUUUGGUGGAGUGAGAACCUCUACAAAGCCCUCCAGUGGCUGCUCCAGUUGGUCCACUGCAGUGCUUGAUUUUGUGAAGAACCCUGUGGAAUGUGGUC